GUCCACGCCCUAAACGAUGUCAACUAGGUGUCGGGAGCGCAAGUUCUUGGUACCGCAGCUAACGCGUGAAGUUGACCGCCUGGGGGAGUACGGUCGCAAGAUUAAAACUCAAAGGAAUUGACGGGGACCCGCACAAGCGGUGGAUGAUGUGGAUUAAUUCGAUGCAACGCGAACAACCUUACCUACCCUUGACAUGUCCGGAACCCUGCUGAAAGGUGGGGGUGCCCGCAAGGGAAUCGGAACACAGGUGCUGCAUGGCUGUCGU
rnacentral:rRNA from 1 species